rnacentral:lncRNA from 1 species
UAGAUAAAUCUUGGAAUAAAUUUGUUUAGUACCUCAAAAAAUCUGGUUGAAAUUUUGAAUGGAAUUGUGUAGACUUUAGAGAUUAAUUUGGGGAAAUAUUGGCAUUUUUUACAAUUUUCCAAGUUGUUUCAUUUGUGAAUGGGGGAUAUAUUGCUAUUUAUUCAGAUCUUUCACGUUUUAAUUAAAAAAAAUUUUUAUUGAUUGAUUGAUGAUCAUCUUUUUAGGGCUGCACCUCUGGCAUAUGGAAGUUUUCAGACUUGGAGCUGUAGCUGCUGGCCUAUGCCACAACACAGCAACACCAGAUCUGAGGCACAUCUGUGACCUACACCACAACUCAUGGCAACACCAGAUCCUUAACCCACUGAGCAAAGCCAGGAUUCGAACCCGCAUCCUCAUGGAUACUAGUCAGGUUCAUUACCACUGAGCCACCACAGGAACUCCCAUAGAAAUAUCAGUAAUUUUUGUAAGUUUAUCUUGUAUCUUAUAAGUUUCCUCUGUGUCUUUUCAUGGUGUGAUAACUCGUUUCUUUUUUUAUCAUUGAAUAACAGUAUAUUGUGUGGAUGUACUGCAUUCACCUACAGAAGGACAUCUUGGUUGCUCCCAGGUUUUGGCCAAUAUGAACACAGCUGCUAUAAACACUCUUGUGUAGGUUUUUGUGUAGAUGUAAGUUUUCAACUAAUUUGGGUAAAUACUUAGGAACACGAUUGCUGGAUCAUAUGGUACAAUUGUGUUUAGUUUUAUAAGAAACUGCCAAACUGUCUUCCAAAGUGGUGGUAUGAUUUUGCAUUCCCACCAGCAAUAAAUCAGAGUUCCCAUUGCUCCACGUCCUCAUCAGCAUUUGGUGGUGUUAGGGUCUGGAUUUUAGCCAUUCCAAUAGGUAUGUGGUAGUAUCUCACUGUUGUUUUAAUUUGCAAUUCUCUGGUGACAUAUGAUAUUGAUGAGCAUCUUUUCAUAUGCUUAUUUGCCAUCUGUGUAUCUCUUUUAGUAAAGUGUCUGCUCAGAGCUUUUGCACAUUCUCAAAUGAAGCUACUUGUUUUCUUACUGUUGAAUUUUAUGAAUUCUUUGCAUAUUUUAGAUACAAGUUCUUUAUCAGAUAUGUAUUUUACAAAUACUUUUCUCCCAGGUUGUGGCUUAUAUAUGUUCAUUCUUUGCAGUGUCUUUUUCAGAACAGAAGCUUUUAAUUUUAAUGAUAUCCAGUUUGCUAAUUUUUUCUUUCGUGGAUUGUGCUUUGGUGUUGCAUCUGAAAAACUCAUUGCCAAACCCAAGGUGCCUUAGAUUUCAUCCUGUUUUCUUCUGGAAGUUUUGCAGUCCUGCCUUUUACAUUUAUGUACAAGAUCUAUUUUGAGUUACUUGUGAAAGAUAUUAAGGACAGUGUCUUGAUUCUAUUUUUUCUUUGUAUGUGGAUGUCCAGUUGUUCUAGCAUCAUUUCUUAAAAAGAGUAUCCUUUUUCCAUUGAAUUACCUUCUCUCUUUUGUCAGAGAUCAGUUGACUCUGUCUGGGUGGGUCUGUUUUUGGGCUCUCUAAUCUGUUUCAUUGAUCUGUUUGUUUAUUCUUACACCAGUAUCAUACUGUCUUGAUUAACUGUGGCUGCUUUUUAAUUUAUGUUUUAUAACCUUGUACUUCUGGAAAAGGAUUUGAGAUAGAUUGCAAUUUCAGUUAUGUGGAAGAAGGGAAAUUUUAAUAAAAGGUAAAAAUUAUAACUAAAUUAUUGAUUCUUCUGGCAGUGUGGCUCUAUUCUUUCAAAAGCUAGAACACACAGAAAUAUUACAAUAAAGUAUGGGCACGCCUGAGGACUUUUUACCUGCUGUCAUUUAUCUGACAACAUUAAAAAUUGUAGUUUAGACAGAGCAAAGUUGAAGUUAGGUUAUUCUUACUGUUUACUUUUGAGUUUGGGGUGAUCAGUUAUUUCGUUAAUAUUGCAUAGUUAGCUAUAUACAUUUUAUUGAAGACACAUCUUAAUACGUUAGUUAAGAAUUGAACCAGCCACAAAUGGUUGGUUGAAAUAUACACAUGUGCAAGUCUGACCAUAUUUUUUUUUAAUUUUUAUUUUUUUUAGGUCAAUGAUGCCUUCCUUCAUGUCAUAAAUCGCACCUCCAUGGGCAAGGUGCUUCUCUCCCUUAAAUGAACCCUUACAAACUCAGCAUGUCUAAAUCCAAAACUCAUCCUCCUUCCAAAAAACCUGAUUUCCCUUAUGUUUCUAAAGGUCUUACCACCUUCCUUAUUAAUCCAGUUUCAAAAUCUUUUCGAUUAACCUUUGAUUCUGUUUCCUGAUUCCUCACAAUUAGUGUGAUCAUAUACUUGCUUGUCCAAACUUGGACCCCUUUGUGAGUGAAAGGAUGCUCUUAGGAACUGCACCAGGGAAACAGGUGUCCCAGGCAAACCUGUUUGUAAUGCAUCAGUGGUCAGGUUCUGUCAUCCCCAUCUCUCGCCUCCAUAGCCUCUUUUCCAGUCUAAUGAUGUCACAUAUGCUAAUUCCAGUCACCCCCUAACUGACUUUCCUACCUUUAAACUACCUACCUCCUUCCUUGUUACUAAAUACUGCCAUGGCGACCUUCCCAAAGCACAGCCAUGACGGUAUUGUCUCUGAACCCUAAAUGGCUCACCAUCGUCUACAGGGUGGCUUUCAGACUCCUCGAGCUGGCACUUCAUGAUGACCAGGAUUUUGCCCCUGUCUGCUUUCCGGCCUUGUGUUGGACAGCUCCACUGGUCCCUCAGUACAUUCAGAUUUCUCGCCUCCCCCACUUUGCUCAAGCAGUUUCCUCUACGCUCUUACCUCUGUUAGACAUAAGCCUUCCUCACCUCCAAGACCUACUUCGGCCUUGAGCUUUUCCCCUCUGGAGGGUGGUUAUCUCUUCUCUUCCCCUCUUCCCUUCCUGUAGCUUCUCCCCCAGGAUGUGUCACACUCUGCCUUGCACCAGCAGGAGCAGCAUGUCUAGUGCCGUGAACAUAGGAGUCUAAAUCCCAGAGGUGGGUUUGAAUCCCAGUCUCAGCACUUUGGAGGUGGUUACUGAAGGUCUCCAAGCCUUUGUUUCGCUCCCUGUAAAGUGGGUAUUACAAUCUCCAGCUCACAAGGUUCAUGUGAGCAAUCCAAGCUGUGGUGGGACAAGGCACCUGCCUUGGGUUAGGUGGUUAACACGUACUGGUCACUGUUAUUUCUUCCUCUCCUCCUUUCCCAAGGUCACUUAAGUUCCUUGAAAGCAGGUCUGAUUCACCUGUACCACACACCUGUACCACUCACCUAGCACAGUGCGUUUCCGUGGAACUGAGCUGAAUUUGAGUCAUUGCAAGUCUUAGAUUAUGGGAUCAAAUUAAAAAUAUAUUACCCUGGAAGCAAAUGUUCAUCACAGACAAAUGGAUAAACAAAAUUGCUGUAUACAUACGCUGGAAUAUCAUUCAGCCUUAAAACAGAAGGAAAUUUUGACACCUCCUACAACAUGGAUGGACCUUGAGGACAUUAUGCCAAGUGUGCUAAGCUGGUCAGUCACGAAAGGACAAAUAUUGUAUAAGCACCUGUGAUCGUUAAAGUCAUAGAAACAGAAAGUAGACUUGUGGUUGCCAGCACCUGGGGAGAGGAGGAAAUGGGGCGUUACGGGUCCAAAGCUCCCACUCAGGAAGAUGAAAAAUUUCUCAUCGUGGAUGGUGGUGACGGUCGCACGACACUGUUAAUGUGCUGAAUGCCAUGGAACCAAUCACUUGAAAAAUGGUUCCAAAUGGUAAAUUUCAUGUUAUGUAUAUUUUACUGAUCUAAAAAAUACAAAAAUAAAAGAAUAUAUUAC